UUCUAAAAUGCCAAGAAUGACCCUUUGUUUCCUUCACAAUCAAAAUCCAAAAAAAAAAGAUACAUGAGGAUAAAUUGGUAAAAACACAUAACUGAACAAAAAAACUGUUUUGAAAAAAAAAAGAAAACAAAGAGUAAAUACGUUUCCUCUGCAGGAUUCCCACAAUCUGGAUUGAGUUUAGUGGGACAUUCCACAAUAACUACCUACGCCCCCACUAAUAUUUAGAGAUGAAUAACCCCUGAAAUAAAAAAAUAAAAUACCUGAAAGAGAGAGAAAGCAUUAAAACGGAUGAGUUUUGCUGGAUGAGGAAUGAGAACCGCGAACGUGGGAUUCAAACAAAGCCUCCACAUUCUGCAAACUAACAACCAAAUCAAAGCCGAUACCUUGCUUUCAAUUCCGAUUCUUCCACAUCCUUCCCCCUUCACUCCCAGCACCAUCUGCAAUCCCUCUCUCUCUCUCUCGCUUUCUCUCUCUCUAAAAUCUAAAAUUAACUGACGGUGUGUUUUUGAAUGCAGGGAAGAGGAAUUCUCGGAUUUAGUUUUGCGCGGGCAAAGUGUGGGCUUUGAGAGUGAGCCGAAGUUAUCUAGCAAUUCAAUGGAAUUAGAGAAGGAAUUUCCAGAUUUGAACCAGAGCCUGUACCCAAAUAUUGAGCCGUAUAGGAAAUCUAUUGCAGGGAGCAGAUGGAAAGAAGCACGACCCAUCUUGUGAAAACUGGAGGAAGAGAUAGGCAGAGCGGCAUUUUGUGGCUUAGGAUUCAACUACGUAUGCUCUUUCUGAGUACUUUUUAUGUUGGUUUUCUUCUUAUGUUUAUUAUUUUCUUGGUAAAUUGUUAACACGCUUUUGUAAACUGAUAGAUAUGUCGAUAUAUAAUUUAUGGAACUAUUACGAUUCCCUUAAUUGAAGAAUAAUUUGUACUAGAUAUUAGAAUUCCAGGGUAUAAUGAAAUGCCCACUGCAUGAGAAUCUUUUAUUUUUCAUAAUUAAUUUUGUUAAUUCAAUAUUUUCUUCUUAACAUUCUAUUUGGUUUUGGAGACUGCUUUUACAAAAUUAUGAGUUUUUUGUGUGUAUAAUAGUAAAAGAAGAGAGCCUUUGGAGGGUGCUCAUAUAUAGGCUGCGAUAAGAUUUAUGAAUAAGGUUGGGUAUUUCUUGCUGGUGAUUGUAUGAUUGAAGUCGGUUUCCUUUCUUCACCUUUAUGCUGGGUAGUUGAUUUUGGGAGUUUUGCUUGGAUAUCUACACAACACCAGGCCUAGAUCCAUCAUUAAUGAGUGAAUUGGACAUCAUGGCACUUAUUAUGGUCUAAAUAGUUUAAUUUUCAAUUUUUGUAUGUACAUUUUAGCUUUAAAGUUUUUGUAGUUUAAGUUUUCGUUUUCAUUAACUCUAUAAGCUUAAUUUCUUUCGUUUUAGGUGCUCAAAAACCGAUUGAGAAUGACGCAACCAGAGACAAUUUGGGUACAAACUCAACUGCAAACGAAAAAAAUUGUUCAGGUAUAUGUCUUCCAUUUGUGUUUUUAAGUGAUUGCAUUUAGAGUUCUAACAUUUGGUUAUUGGAACUUAUUUAAAGUGCUAUGUGCUUUAUCUUCUUCUUCAUUUUAUAGCUUUAUGAGUUCUUUAUGCCUUCUUUUUACGUUCUUAUUUCAGAUUACUUUGUAUAUUUGGUUGUAUUCUUAAAAGGAAUUUUCUUGCUUCACUCUUUGUACAUAUAUACCAUGGAACUAAAACGAAGUAUGCCUAUAUGCAGUUUGGUUUCAGUGCAUUUUAUCCAUCAAAAUAAGAAAAGAGAAUAAGUAGUAUGGAGUUUCUUUUUUCUUACGGACAAAAUUUCAGUUGUGUAUAUUGUGCUAAUGCACGAGAAGUUGCUUCUUUUUUUGGAUGUUACUGGCGGGUGGAAAUCAGACUAUUUGUUCGAAGUGUCUACCAAUUAGAUUUGAUUGCACAAAGAUA